rnacentral:rRNA from 1 species
AUUGAACGCUGGCGGCAGGCUUAACACAUGCAAGUCGAGCGAGCGGCGGACGGGUGAGUAAUGUCUGUGAAACUGCCUGCAGGAGGGGGAUAACUACUGGAAACGGUAGCUAAUACCGCACACCAUCAGAUGUGCCCAGAGGGGAUUAGCUAGUAGGUGGGGAAUUGGCUAUCCUAGGCGACGAUACCUAGCUGGUCUGAGAGGCUGACCAGCCACACUGGAACUGAGACAAGGUCCAGACUCCUACGGGAGGCAGCAGUGGGGAAUAGUGUACAAUGGGCGAAAUCCUGAUGCAGCCAUGCCGCGUGUGUGAAGAAGGCCGUCGGGUUGGAAAGCACUUUCAGCGAGGAGGCGUUACGCGCAGAAGAAGCACCGGCUAACUCCGGGCCAGCAGCCGCGGUAAUAC